CUGUAAACCAACGCCGUUCAGUUGUGCAUCUUGUACGCCUUUUGGUACCCAUUUGCUGUGCUAGGCACCCUUUGCAAAGGAGUACCCAAAAAGUGGUACGGUAUGGUUCGCUUUUAGGUACCUUUUAAACAUACCCCUCAGUGAAAACGGGCCAUUGGAGGACAGUGCUAUGAUUGCUGUAAGGCGACACAGUGCUAACCACUGAGCCACCGUGCCACCCCACUAAAAGAGAUUCACCCCCUCUUUUACUCAAUUGAAAUUCCCUUCAAUUUACUCCCCCUUAGGACAUCCAAGAUGGAUUUUGUCUUCUGGCCAGCAAGCACAUAGACGUCAAAACAACAUCAAGUUGACAAUUUAAUGCAAAAACGUUACAUCAUGGGAAACUCAUGGAAAAUGAUUGCUCCCCCGUGAUGAUUUGUAAACUGUAUGCUCUGACAAAGAACUACUCAUGCAGAAAUUAUAACAAUCUAUCAAUAAACACUCACCUUCUGCUCUGCACUGCUUCAGUCAGUUUAAUUAUGGCCUAGUGAGAUCAAAUCAAUCAAAUGACCUAUACUGUAUACACUGAGACAAAUAUUAGCAAAUGAUCCAAUGUAGUAAAGGUGUUUUUAAGGUUAUACUUAAAACAGUAUUAUGUAAGACACUGUGUUAAUGAGCUUUCUUUGAUAAUCUUCAUUUAAGCAUAGAUGGUGUUUUGCUGCUUCCUGAAUUCAUUUCAAGUGAAAAUGUAAUUUAGAAAACAUGUAGAGGCACAUUUUUCCAGUAAACCCGUGUAGCUUUUCAGUCAUGUUAACAGCAUCGCUGAUUGCCAUAUUGAAAUCCAUUCCCCACGCAAUACUGUUUGAAAUAACACCAAACAGCUACAUUGUAUCCAAACAGGUGAUGCAAGCAAUUUUUGAGUCUGAUCCGAGGCAGCUUUGGGAAGCCGUUGCUUUGAAUAAAUGCUCAUAGCCUCGCUCCUUUAACGGAUCAGUCAAAACCACUUUGCACUCGCAUAGAUCUUCAUUAGGCUUCGUUAAACUUUUCUGUUCAGAGAAAAAAGGUCUAUGUGUGCACAUUCUUGUGUUGUCCCUUUUGCUUCCUUCGCAGGCAGGAUGUGAGUUCAGCUGGGAGCUGAUCCUUUGCAGAAACAAUGGCUGAGAUGCACGUCAGACUAGGCCAGCUGUGUCUCCAGCAAAGAAACGAGACAGGAAAUGAUGGGCUCCUGAAAGAAGCUCUGACAUAUACAGUACUACUGUGCUCUGCACUGGACACAGAGAGGGUCCACAUGCACACACACUUUACCUACACUUACCACAGUUUCAUGUGAAAAACGAUCAUAGAUCAUUAUCUCACAUUACAGUUUAUACUUUGUCCGGGUAUGCUUUUCUUUGCUAAGAGCAAGCACUGAAAUUAUAUUUAAUGAAAUAAUAGCUCUGAGGGCUGCUGCCUUGUUUGUUCUCUCCGUUUAUGAAAAUGUACUUAAAUAGAGCGACUUUCAUUCCCUUGAAGUCUUUUACCGAUUUCAAUAUUUGAACAUGACUUUUCCGUCAUAUAGGCUCCUCCAAGGAAAAUAAAUUUCCUGGUUUCGUUGCCAUUUCACAGGAAUCAAGAGGACAAACAAAAACAUCUAGAAAUAGUUAAGAGAUCUGCUACCACAAUAUCACUUCAGUAGGUCACUACUGAUCAUUUGGACCACGGAAAAAACUUGAG